CAAAAAAACAAAAACAAAAAAACAAUAGGGGGGAGGAAUAAGGGGGUUUUACACAAAGAAUAAAGAAGAAAAGCCCCACAUGUCCUCCCCAGCCAAACCCACCCCUACCACUUCAAAAAAUUCCAGCCCAUUCCCUUUAUAAAAAAUAAAUAAAAAUAUGCUAAGCAGCCAGGCAAAAAAUAAACUCAAAUCUGUGCCCAGUGCCCUCACCAGCAAGGCAAGGAAGCUGCAAGGCAAGGCAAAAGGCAGGUCAAGGCAACCACCAAACAAAUACAUGAAUGAAACCGAUGAAACAAAUACCGCACUCAACAUUAGAAUAUAGCCAUACAGAUGUUCUUGGAUUUUAACUCCCAUCAGCCCUAGACAGCAUAAUCAAUGGUGAUAAAUUUUAGAAGCUAUCAUUAAUAAUACAGGCAGUCUCCAGGUUACAAACAUCUGACUUGCACAUGACUCAUAGAGACCUAAUAAAAUGAUUCCAUAGUAUUGAGCCAUGGCAGUUAAAGUCAUGCCAAACUACAUUAAUUCUACAAUGUAGAUGUGCCUCUAGAUAUCAAUUUGGAGUGACUUAUUAUCGAAGUGUGUUAAAGCGCUGAGCUGCUGAACUUGCAGACCGAAAGGUCCCAGGUUCAAAUCCUGGGAGCGGCUUGAGCACCCGCCGUUAGCUCCAGCUCCUGCCAACUUAGCAGUUCGAAAACAUGCCAAUGUGAGUAGAUCAAUAGGUACAGCUCUGGUGGGAAGGUAAUGGCGUUCCGUGCAGUCAUGCCGGCCACAUGACCUUGGAGGUGUCUACGGACAAUGCUGGCUCUUUGGCUUAGAAAUGGAGAUGAGCACCAACCCCCAGAGUCAGACAUGACUGGACUUAACAUCAGGGGAAACCUUUACCUUUUAUUAUUGGAUAAGCUGACUGUGUCAAGGAGCCUCCGGUGGCCAAGGGGAUAAAAGCCUUGUGACUUGAAGGUUGGGUUGCUGACCUGAAAGCUGCCAGGUUUGAAUCCCGCCCAGGGAGAGCGCGGAUGAGCUCUCUAUCAGCUCCAGCUCCAUGCGGGGACAUGAGAGAAGCCUCCCACAAGGAUGGUAAAACAUCAAAAACAUCCGGGCGUCCCCUGGGCAACGUCCUUGCAGACAGCCAAUUCUCUCACUCCAGAAGCAACUUCGGGUUGCUCCUGAUAAGAAAAAAAAAGCUGACUGAGUAUUGGCUUGUCUUCUCAAAUGCUAUCUGCUUGACGUUGCCUGUCUUAGGAGAAAAUGCAUUAAGUUGUUUUGGAAUUAGUUGCUCAUUCCUCAGUUCCCAAAAGAUACUCCUUGAAAAAAGAAAUCUGGGAAAGCCUUCUGGUUGUAGCUGUUUUAUAUUUUAAAAUAUUUCAACUCAUUUCCCCACUUAGUACAAAACAGAAACACUAUUUAUGAAUGAUGGCUGCGGCAUGAACCAAAAUUAUUUUCUAUUAAGACGUGCUCUCGUCAUUCCUGGUCAGAUGCCAAACUAAGCAUUGUGGCCAGUGACAGUUUUAAGGUCUUAUACCUCGGGGGGAAAUGCUAAAGAAAGAACCGACUUAUGCUGUUAGAAAUGGUAGAAUCCCAUGAGUAUAUACACUUCCUUUCUAGGCCUGUUGUCCUCAGAAACCAUAGCCUCUACAUUACAUCAUUCCAAUAUACAAUCUCACUUUGUCCUUACUGAACUCCCAACACACCUGGUGCGGUAUAAUAUUUGUUGUUGCUCAUUUUAUGAACUACUAUGGCAAGAAAGCUAUGAAUCCCUAAUUAUAGUGUAAACUGCUUCUCUGUUACAAUACUUCCUGUCUUUUCCUCUUGGGAAUUUGUAGGAUUUUCACUGAGGAAAGCAUAUGGUGUGUGUAUAUGUACAUAUGUGUGCGCACGUGUGUGCUUUUUCUAUGCCUUAUAACAAAUUUCCUUCCCUCUGGAACUCUUCACACUGAUCCUAGCCUGUUUAUGAUGGUAUUAGAAAAUAAGCUUAUCAUCUCUCACUGAGGCAAGUAAUUGAACGAGAGUAUGAAUAUUGCAAGACUUUUCACAUAAAUAGCAACAAAUUAGUGUACAUUUCAGAUUGGUCCCACCCUUGCAUUUAAGCUGCUUUUCUAUAAUGUUUUUUCCAAGUAGUUAGUGGCUGUCUUUUUAAUGCUGUAUUGUUGUCAAGGCAUUGUAUAGCUGCCUUUUAUGUAAAGUUGCCUUGAGUCCCCUUUGGGGUAGAGAAAGGCAGGAUAGAAAUAUUGUAAAUAAAUAAAGAAAUAAAGAAAUACAUAAAACACAGGACUAUUACAAUUAUUAAACAUUGACUGUGUACAGAUCUAAAAUACCUAACCUAAGGGCUUUACAUUCUCUGCCUGGCGGUUUUAUUUCCUCCAUUUUCUAUGCCGUAAGCCACUAUAUCUUCAACAGUCCUGUUCAAGUCUUGCAAACUCAGGACCAUGGCUUCCUUGGUUAAGUCUAUCUAUCUGGAAUGUUGCCUUCAUCUUUCUUAUUGCCUUCUAUCAUUCCAACCGUUCUUCUUUUCUAACAAGUUAUGUUUUGUCAAAAUACGUCCAAAAUACAAUGGUUAUUUCAUUUAGUCAUCUUGGCUUCUAUGGAUUGUUCAGGCUGGAUUUUCUCUUGCCUUUAACCCUCCUGAUAUCUGCAGCACAUUUCAAAUGAGUUCAUUUUCUUACUAGUCUUCUUCACUGUUCAGAUUUAACAAUUAUAUAUAGAAUUUGGAGAUUCAAUCCCAACUUUAAUAUUCAAUGACACAUCUUUACAUUUCAGUAUCUUACAUAAUCCCUUCAUAACUGGCAUCUAAAGUCCUAGUCUUCUUUUGAUUUCAUGACACCAUUUUCCACUCUAAAUAAUGACUGAGCCAAGAAUUGGAAAAUCUUUCACUGUUUUGAUGCUGUCUUCAUCUUUUUUUGACCACAAAUUUAUUACAUACAUUUAAGCAUAGCACUUGACAGAAAUUAAGUACAUCUUAAGGCAAGAGCCACACUGAGUACUGGAGAGCAAGAAUAGCUCCCAAACUCUUAGUUUGCACAGCUUCAAAUGCUCCAUCAAUGUGUAACUCAAACCCAUAAACAUGGUUAAAAAACUUGGCUAGCAGAUGAUAAUGCAGCCUUUUCCUUUCAUUUAAAACAGAAGACAAAUUCCUAAACAAACUAAGAUAGUCUUCUGAACAUUUUUGCUUAGUUAUUUCAAUAUCCAAUUCCAAUCAAUUUGCUCAGGAAGGCUGUGUGAAGGAAGAUAGACACUUUUGAAGUGUGGUGUUGAAGGAAAAUUCUGAGAGUGCCUUGGACCACAAGAAGAUCCAACCAGUCUAUACUCCAGGAAAUAAACCCCGACUACUCAUUUGAGGGGAGGGGGGAUAUUAAAGGCAAAGAUGAAGUACUUUGUCCACAUAAUGAGAAGACAGGAAAGCUUGGAGAAGAUCAUGAUGCUGGGGAAGAUGGAAGGAAAAAAGGAAUAGGGGCCAACCAAGGACAAGAUGGAUGGAUGGUGUCCUUGAAGUGACUGGCUUGACCUUGAAGGAGCUGGGGGUGGCCACGGCUGACAGGGAGCUCUGGCAUGGACUGGUCCAUGAGGUCACGAAAAGUCGGAAGUGACUGAACAUUUCAAUAUCCAAAAGAGUGAAACUACUCCCUGAUAGCAGUGUUCAUUGAUGGUGGGUGAGUGUGUGCAUAUGAAUGAGAAAGGGACAGGAAGGGAGAUGUUUGGGUAAAUGCAUCUUCAGGUAAUUAUUUAUUUUGCGACCUUGCUCACCACAGAACUGCAAGAAUGGUUUAUGAUCAUUCUCUGUUUUGUUCUUCCCUUAUGGUUUAUGAGGGGAAGGAAUUCACCAGAGGAGUCAGAAAUAAUAUAUACUAUCUCAUCACAUUAGAGCAUGGAUCCACUUAAAAUCUGGUUUCAGUCUCCUGUAGAAUCCUGUGUUUUGUAAUUGAGGACCAGGACAUGUCCAACCUAAAUUACAAACCCCAGAAUUCUGCAGUAGAUAGAAACCAGAUUUAAAGUGGAUUCAUGCUCUAGUAUGAUGAGGUCUUUAUAGUACUAUUUUAUGUUGUUUGGGUUCUCUUAAUACGAGUAGCACAAAAAAAGCAAAGGAAAAAAUGACUGGUACAAAAUUGCUUCCAUCUUAGACACUAGUUUAUUGUAUAACAAAAACAAACAUCCCAAGCAUAAUUGUGACUCAUAUCCUCAGAGUUCCAAUUCCCACGUUAUUUUCACUUAAUUUGAAAGCAGCACCUUUUGUUUAUUGCUCAAAGACCAAAAGCAGAAUCGGCUUGCCUCUGUCCUAUCACCUUGAAAUCCUGCAUCAGAUCCAAAACCUGGUAGAAAUAUUGUGAAACAAAUGCUUUAAAAAAAAGCUUUACAAAGGUGAAAUUUGCCAUCAUUGCUCUCCCUGUCUCUCUCUUGUUAGCUAUCAUAUUUUAAUAUUAUGUGCUCAGCAGUAUCCUUUCUCCUUAAAGGAUAUCCUUUAAGGCUAUCCUUAACAGCCUUCCAAAUUAAACUUUAAGAUUCCAGGAAAGUUCUAACAAAUGUUUAAAUCACUCAGAAGCUAAGGCAAAUGAAAGGAAAAUAGAGCUCUCUUUUUCAGGAGUUAUACUGCAUAGUAGCACUAUUUUAAUCUCUCACACCAAGAGUUAUUUUGCAGGAAUGCCAUAGUGGCAAGAGCUGAAAUAAGGCUAACAUGAAUAGAUGACAAAAGGUAAAGGGCCCAAAAGAACAAGGGGGUCUUGGGGGCCUCUGCCCUUUUGGGGAACUCCGUUUGAGGCACUUUGGGUUUGUUCACCUAAAAGAACAUUUAAAUGUUGAUCUUUAUUUAUUUAUUGUUGCAUGUCAAUGGUUUUGCCUUGCUGUUACAUUGGCCAACACACAUUUUAUUGCCUCAAAUGUGCUUCCUUGCCUCAACUUUGGCCUCCUAUCAUUGUAAAGUUGAUCUUUGUUUGUUUACUGUUGCACAUGAAUGGUUUUGCCUUGUUUUUACACUGGCUAACACACAUUUUAUUUGCCUCGAAUGUGCUUCC